rnacentral:rRNA from 1 species
GACGAACGCUGGCGGCGUGCUUAACACAUGCAAGUCGAACGGAAAGGCCCUGCUUUUGUUGGGUGCUCGAGUGGCGAACGGGUGAGUAACACGUGAGUAACCUGCCCUUGACUUUGGGAUAACUUCAGGAAACUGGGGCUAAUACCGGAUAGGAGCUCCUGCUGCAUGGUGGGGGUUGGAAAGUUUCGGCGGUUGGGGAUGGACUCGCGGCUUAUCAGCUUGUUGGUGGGGUAGUGGCUUACCAAGGCUUUGACGGGUAGCCGGCCUGAGAGGGUGACCGGCCACAUUGGGACUGAGAUACGGCCCAGACUCCUACGGGAGGCAGCAGUGGGGAAUAUUGCACAAUGGGCGGAAGCCUGACGCAGCAACGCCGCGUGCGGGAUGACGGCCUUCGGGUUGUAAACCGCUUUCGCCUGUGACGAAGCGUGAGUGACGGUAAUGGGUAAAGAAGCACCGGCUAACUACGUG